UACGAAGGGGGCGAGCGUUGUUCGGAUUUACUGGGCGUAAAGGGCGCGUAGGCGGCCAUCUUUGUUAGGCGUGAAAGCCCCGGGCUCAACCUGGGAACUGCGUCUGGGACGGGGUGGCUAGAGAUCGGGAGAGGAGCGUGGAAUUCCCAGUGUAGAGGUGAAAUUCGUAGAUAUUGGGAAGAACACCGGUGGCGAAGGCGGCGCUCUGGACCGAUACUGACGCUGAGGCGCGAAAGCGUGGGGAGCAAACAGG
rnacentral:rRNA from 1 species